UACGAAGGGGGCUAGCGUUGCUCGGAAUCACUGGGCGUAAAGCGCGCGUAGGCGGGUUGGCAAGUCCGCUGUGAAAGCCCGGAGCUUACCUCCGGCGGGUCGGUGGAUACUGCCAGUCUUGAAGGUGCCAGGGGAAGAUGGAAUUUACGGUGUAGCGGUGAAAUGCGUAGAUAUCGUAAGGAAGACCAGUGGCGAAGGCGGGUCUCUGGACAGUUCCUGACGCUGAGGCACGAAGGCCAGGGGAGCAAACGGG
rnacentral:rRNA from 1 species